AUACAAUGGACGGGGUCAGCGGUCGAUCAUGAAGGGCCGUGGCUUAGAUCACACUUGGUCUACUGGUUUCCCCUAAUGAGAGAUUAGACGUCCUAAUUUAUGGGAGGGGGGCACGCGUCCGCGCGGCCCCUG
rnacentral:snRNA from 1 species